rnacentral:piRNA from 1 species
UACACAGGCCCAGACUCUUACCACACAGUA